ACUAUCAUAUAUUUUUGUGUUGUUUUUGCUGAAUAGAUUGAAUAUCUUUGUUACACACUGUAGCUUGUAGCUUUGCAAACUAACCUCCUCUAGUUCUCUUACUUUUCUGCAGACCGCCCAUGGCAUGGACGGCGACGACGACAGGAGGACGCCAGUUCUAGCCGGGAACAUGGCCUUGUCCUGCUCGAGGAGGAGGGACGCACCUAGGCACCGGCCCUGUCCCGCAACAAGGGGUCUGCUCCUCUGCUUCCAAGGUAACCAAGCUGCCCUGCCUGAGCUCGACGAUUCAAGCCCGACCACGACCACACACCGCUCCCAGCAGGGUGACAGGAAGCCAUGUUGCCAUUUUGUUUGUUCCCAGCCCCGACUGGUCGUCCGGUGAGUCCGUCAUGUUGUCAUUUUCUUGUAAAGUAGUACUGUAUCACACUUGUAGAGCUUGUAAAGUAUUGUAUUACACAUGGUCAUAUGUAUUGGCAUGGAUAGAGCUUGUUACUGUUGUUGCCAAUGUAUUAUGUGAUCUGGUUGCUCUUAUUUGAA